CGAAACCGCAUGGUUUUGAUUUGAAAGGCGCUUUCGGGUGUCGCUGAUGGAUGGACCCGCGGUGCAUUAGCUAGUUGGUGAGGUAACGGCUCACCAAGGCCACGAUGCAUAGCCGACCUGAGAGGGUGAUCGGCCACAUUGGGACUGAGACACGGCCCAAACUCCUACGGGAGGCAGCAGUAGGGAAUCUUCGGCAAUGGACGAAAGUCUGACCGAGCAACGCCGCGUGAGUGAAGAAUGUUUUCGGAUCGUAAAACUCUGUUGUUAGAGAAGAACAAGGAUGAGAGUAACUGUUCAUCCCUUGACGGUAUCUAACCAGAAAGCCACGGCUAACUACGUGCCAGCAGCCGCGGUAAUACGUAGGUGGCAAGCGUUGUCCGGAUUUAUUGGGCGUAAAGCGAGCGCAGGCGGUUUCUUAAGUCUGAUGUGAAAUCCCCCGGCUCAACCGGGGAGGGUCAUUGGAAACUGGGAGACUUGAGUGCAGAAGAGGAGAGUGGAAUUCCAUGUGUAGCGGUGAAAUGCGUAGAUAUAUGGAGGAACACCAGUGGCGAAGGCGGCUCUCUGGUCUGUAACUGACGCUGAGGCUCGAAAGCGUGGGGAGCAAACAGGAUUAGAUACCCUGGUAGUCCACGCCGUAAACGAUGAGUGCUAAGUGUUGGAGGGUUUCCGCCCUUCAGUGCUGCAGCUAACGCAUUAAGCACUCCGCCUGGGGAGUACGACCGCAAGGUUGAAACUCAAAGGAAUUGACGGGGGCCCGCACAAGCGGUGGAGCAUGUGGUUUAAUUCGAAGCAACGCGAAGAACCUUACCAGGUCUUGACAUCCUUUGACCACUCUAGAGAUAGAGCUUCCCCUUCGGGGGCAAAGUGACAGGUGGUGCAUGGUUGUCGUCAGCUCGUGUUGUGAGAUGUUGGGUUAAGUCCCGCAACGAGCGCAACCCUUAUUGUUAGUUGCCAUCAUUCAGUUGGGCACUCUAGCAAGACUGCCGGUGACAAACCGGAGGAAGGUGGGGAUGACGUCAAAUCAUCAUGCCCCUUAUGACCUGGG
rnacentral:rRNA from 1 species